rnacentral:rRNA from 1 species
AUUGAACGCUGGCGGCAUGCCUUACACAUGCAAGUCGAACGGUAACGCGGGGCAACCUGGCGACGAGUGGCGAACGGGUGAGUAAUGCAUCGGAACGUGCCCAGUUGUGGGGGAUAACUGCUCGAAAGAGCAGCUAAUACCGCAUACGACCUGAGGGUGAAAGCGGGGGAUCGCAAGAUCUCGCGCAAUUGGAGCGGCCGAUGUCGGAUUAGCUAGUUGGUGGGGUAAAGGCCCACCAAGGCGACGAUCCGUAGCUGGUCUGAGAGGACGACCAGCCACACUGGGACGGAGACACGGCCCAGACUCCUACGGGAGGCAGAAGUGGGGAAUUUUGGACAAUGGACGCAAGUCUGAUCCAGCCAUGCCGCGUGCGGGAAGAAGGCCUUCGGGUUGUAAACCGCUUUUGUCAGGGAAGAAAUCUUCUGGGUUAAUACCUCGGGAGGAUGACGGUACCUGAAGAAUAAGCACCGGCUAACUACGUGCCAGCAGCCGCCGUAAAAC